rnacentral:rRNA from 1 species
UAAAAAGCUCGUAGUUGGUUCUGUGUCCCACGCUGUCGGUUCACCGCCUGCCGGUGCAACUGGCAUGCCGUGGGAUGUCCUGUCGGUGGCGGUUGUGACCCUCGGCGGGCGUAGGUUGACCGAAACCCGCCGCUGUGAGUCGCCUGCCGAUUCAAUCCUGCCGCGGUGCUCUUCACUGAGUGUCGAGGUAGGCCGACACGUUUACUUUGAACAAAUUAGAGUGCUUAAAGCAGGCUGAAUUCUGCCUGUAUAGUGGUGCAUGGAAUAAUGGAAUAAGACCUCGUUUCUAUUUUAUUGGUUUUCGGAAUACGAGGUAAUGAUCAAUAUGGACAGGCGGGGGCAUUCGUAUUGCGACGUUAGAGGUGAAAUUCUUGGAUCGUCGCAAGACGGACUAGAGCGAAAGCAUUUGCCAAGUAUGUCUUAGUUGAUCAAGAACGAAAGUUAGAGGUUCGAAGGCGAUCAGAUACCGCCCUAGUUCUAACCAUAAACGAUGCCAGCCAGCGAUCCGCCGAUGUUCCUCCGAUGACUCGGCGGGCAGCCCCCGGGAAACCAAAGCUUUUGGGUUCCGGGG